rnacentral:tRNA from 1 species
GGAGGCGUGCGUGAGCGGUUGAAACGGACAGUCUUGAAAACUGUUAUACCUCAAAAGGGUAUCGGAGGUUCGAAUCCUCCCGCCUCCGCCA